AGAGUUUGAUCAUGGCUCAGAUUGAACGCUGGCGGCAGGCCUAACACAUGCAAGUCGAACGGUAACAGGAAGCAGCUUGCUGUUUUGCUGACGAGUGGCGGACGGGUGAGUAAUGUCUGGGAAACUGCCUGAUGGAGGGGGAUAACUACUGGAAACGGUAGCUAAUACCGCAUAACGUCGCAAGACCAAAGAGGGGGACCUUAGGGCCUCUUGCCAUCGGAUGUGCCCAGAUGGGAUUAGCUAGUAGGUGGGGUAACGGCUCACCUAGGCGACGAUCCCUAGCUGGUCUGAGAGGAUGACCAGCCACACUGGAACUGAGACACGGUCCAGACUCCUACGGGAGGCAGCAGUGGGGAAUAUUGCACAAUGGGCGCAAGCCUGAUGCAGCCAUGCCGCGUGUAUGAAGAAGGCCUUCGGGUUGUAAAGUACUUUCAGCGGGGAGGAAGGGAGUAAAGUUAAUACCUUUGCUCAUUGACGUUACCCGCAGAAGAAGCACCGGCUAACUCCGUGCCAGCAGCCGCGGUAAUACGGAGGGUGCAAGCGUUAAUCGGAAUUACUGGGCGUAAAGCGCACGCAGGCGGUUUGUUAAGUCAGAUGUGAAAUCCCCGGGCUCAACCUGGGAACUGCAUCUGAUACUGGCAAGCUUGAGUCUCGUAGAGGGGGGUAGAAUUCCAGGUGUAGCGGUGAAAUGCGUAGAGAUCUGGAGGAAUACCGGUGGCGAAGGCGGCCCCCUGGACGAAGACUGACGCUCAGGUGCGAAAGCGUGGGGAGCAAACAGGAUUAGAUACCCUGGUAGUCCACGCCGUAAACGAUGUCGACUUGGAGGUUGUGCCCUUGAGGCGUGGCUUCCGGAGCUAACGCGUUAAGUCGACCGCCUGGGGAGUACGGCCGCAAGGUUAAAACUCAAAUGAAUUGACGGGGGCCCGCACAAGCGGUGGAGCAUGUGGUUUAAUUCGAUGCAACGCGAAGAACCUUACCUGGUCUUGACAUCCACGGAAGUUUUCAGAGAUGAGAAUGUGCCUUCGGGAACCGUGAGACAGGUGCUGCAUGGCUGUCGUCAGCUCGUGUUGUGAAAUGUUGGGUUAAGUCCCGCAACGAGCGCAACCCUUAUCCUUUGUUGCCAGCGGUCCGGCCGGGAACUCAAAGGAGACUGCCAGUGAUAAACUGGAGGAAGGUGGGGAUGACGUCAAGUCAUCAUGGCCCUUACGACCAGGGCUACACACGUGCUACAAUGGCGCAUACAAAGAGAAGCGACCUCGCGAGAGCAAGCGGACCUCAUAAAGUGCGUCGUAGUCCGGAUUGGAGUCUGCAACUCGACUCCAUGAAGUCGGAAUCGCUAGUAAUCGUGGAUCAGAAUGCCACGGUGAAUACGUUCCCGGGCCUUGUACACACCGCCCGUCACACCAUGGGAGUGGGUUGCAAAAGAAGUAGGUAGCUUAACCUUCGGGAGGGCGCUUACCACUUUGUGAUUCAUGACUGGGGUGAAGUCGUAACAAGGUAACCGUAGGGGAACCUGCGGUUG
rnacentral:rRNA from 3 species